rnacentral:rRNA from 1 species
GACGAACGCUGGCGGCGUGCCUAAUACAUGCAAGUAGAACGCUGAAGAGAGGAGCUUGCUCUUCUUGGAUGAGUUGCGAACGGGUGAGUAACGCGUAGGUAACCUGCCUGGUAGCGGGGGAUAACUAUUGGAAACGAUAGCUAAUACCGCAUGAUAUUAAUUGUCGCAUGAUAAUUAAUUGAAAGAUGCAAUUGCAUCACUACCAGAUGGACCUGCGUUGUAUUAGCUAGUUGGUGAGGUAACGGCUCACCAAGGCGACGAUACAUAGCCGACCUGAGAGGGUGAUCGGCCACACUGGGACUGAGACACGGCCCAGACUCCUACGGGAGGCAGCAGUAGGGAAUCUUCGGCAAUGGGGGGAACCCUGACCGAGCAACGCCGCGUGAGUGAAGAAGGUUUUCGGAUCGUAAAGCUCUGUUGUAAGAGAAGAACGGGUGUGAGAGUGGAAAGUUCACACUGUGACGGUAUCUUACCAGAAAGGCGGU